GUGUUGAGCUCAUUGUGGUCCAUCCUCUGACAACAUGGCUGUUGCCUUAUCAUUCCUCUACACACUGCUGCAGCUAUUCUUCAGUGGAGGGACUCAGAGGAGAUUGUGUUCUUGACUGCUCUGUUCUACCUGCUGAGUUACUCUGAGCAAGACUACCUCCCUGGUCAUGGAUUUGUUCCCUCACUUAACCCUCUCCCCCAAUGAUCCCACAACUGGUGCCCCAAUCGAGGUCGGUGUGGACGGAGAUAAGAAGAAACACGGCAAGACUUUCUCACGGCAGUAAGGAGUGUGUUCCAUGCAACGUUCAGACGAGCAUUCUGUUUGUAGUUUCUUUCCAGUUUCCUGAUGAGUGGUAUGGUCGCAAGGGCGUACAUGGGCAUCGCAAGUGGGUCUCCCUGAGUGGUUCCCUCUUGAGAUAGUAAUGUGUCUCCAUCCACGAACAGUUCGGUGGGGGCUCUGUAAUUGUUAAUUAGUAUGAUGGCGAGGGGUGGACACAGUCUUUGAAUAUUAUGAAGAGCAACUUGUCUGUUAAGCGAGUUAAAGGCGUUGCUGGCAUCAACCAGGAGCACACCUUCGCUGUCAUCUGAUUCAAAGGAAGUUCUUACCGCAUGCACUGCAGCUUCAAUUCCAGCGAUCUGUCCCCCACACAGUUGAAGACAUCCAGCGGUGUCUUGUAUGUCCUGCCUAGUAAUGGAGAGGACUGCUUUAGCAAUAAUCCAUCAGGCAGUGUCUUCAACACCUAUAGGACGUACACCUGGGGUUUUGUCCAGGGCGAUAAGCCUGCAGGCAAGUAGGGGUGAGAUAGAUUUGGGAUCAAUAUAAGAUGUGCAGAUCCUCCUUGCUGCCAGACUGAGCGAGUUGCAUAUGUCAGCAGAGGCACCUUUAUAUGAUGUACAUAUUCUUCUCCAAUCGUGUGCGUCUAUGCCCGAUGGUCCCGCUGAGCCGGUGGUCCUCAAUGCGUUAUACCGCUACGUCUUCUGCAACGUAAUGUUAUUUAUUAUAAACGUACGUGGUUUUUCAUACAAAAACGUACGUGCCAGGUUAUAUAUAUCUGAAACACCUAGCAAGUGACAGAGAGACUUGCACAAAAAGCGUAUCUGGCUAAUUAUUACAUUAAGAAUAGAUUGGUUUACUGCUAUAAAUACAUCUAUGUAUCGAUCUCGUCUUCCACAUUGUCUAAUUGUGUAUAAUUAUAUA